rnacentral:rRNA from 1 species
GAUGAACGCUGGCGGCGUGCCUAAUACAUGCAAGUCGAGCGAACGGACGAGAAGCUUGCUUCUCUGAUGUUAGCGGCGGACGGGUGAGUAACACGUGGAUAACCUACCUAUACGACUGGGAUAACUUCGGGAAACCGGAGCUAAUACCGGAUAAUAUUUUGAACCGCAUGGUUCAAGAGUGAAAGAAGGUCUUGCUGUGACUUAUAGAUGGAUCCGCGCUGCAUUCGCUAGUUGGUAGGGUAGCGGCUUACCAAGGCUACGAUGCAUAGCCGACCCGAGAGCGUGAACGGCCACACUGGAAGUGAGACACGGUCCCCACUCCUACGGUAGGCCGCAGUACGGAAUCUUACGCGAUGGGCGAAUGCCUAACGGAGCAACGCCGCCUGAGUGAUGAAGCUCUUCGGCUCCUAAAACUCUGUUAGUAUUGAAGAACAUAUGUGUAAGUAACUGUGCACAUCUUGACGGUACCUAAUCAGAAAGCCCCGGCUAACUCCGUG